rfam:Gossypium hirsutum cultivar TM-1 chromosome 22, whole genome shotgun sequence
AACCCAUGGCGAGGGCACCUUCUUAAUAAAUCCUUAUACCUCUCUCAUGCAUCAUAUAAGGUUUCUAAGUUGAUUUAAAUGAACGAAGAGAUAUCAUUCCUUAACUU